UACGUAGGGUGCGAGCGUUGUCCGGAAUUAUUGGGCGUAAAGAGCUCGUAGGCGGCUUGUCACGUCGGGUGUGAAAGCCCGGGGCUUAACCCCGGGUCUGCAUUCGAUACGGGCUAGCUAGAGUGUGGUAGGGGAGAUCGGAAUUCCUGGUGUAGCGGUGAAACGCGCAGAUAUCAGGAGGAACACCGGUGGCGAAGGCGGAUCUCUGGGCCAUUACUGACGCUGAGGAGCGAAAGCGUGGGGAGCGAACAGG
rnacentral:rRNA from 1 species